rnacentral:lncRNA from 1 species
UCAUAAAUUUCCAAUGUCAAAUCUAAUUACAAUUCUAAAAUCAAAUCAAAUUACAAAUUAAAAAUAAAACCAAAUUAAAUUACAAUAAAAUUUAAACCAAAUUAAAUUAAACCAGCCUGCUUUGGCUCUAUUUUGUUGUUGUCCUUAAUGUCGCCUCUCUGUUUCUGAUGCAAUAUCAUGGUUGAGGCACUAGCCUUUGCUUUAUAACUAAUUAGAUAAACAUAAAAGCAUAAUUUUUACUAGUCAGCCUUUGUACACAUGAUAAAAAUUAAAAGACAAAAUUUGGAGUUUGAAAAAAAAAAAAACUAAAGGACAAAUUACAGCUGCAAAUAAAAGCUCAGCAAAAGAACAAAUGAAGACAAGCAUAGGCUAAAACCAUGAAUGCAUCAAAUGCAGAAAAAAAAACGCAGAUGAUGAGCAAAGGAAACGAAACAUCAAAAUUGGAACUGGAAACAGAGGCAAACAAGAAAGCAAUUAAACAGAUAAAAAAACUCUAUGAAUACACCUUAUCAAAUUUCAAAAGGGGGGAGGGAUCUGAGAUUAACUCUACUAAAAAAAACACAUAUACAAAGAAGGGGAAGGGGAAAAAAUCAGAGAGAGUUUCAAUAACAAACAACAAACACGAAACAUUAAGGUAUUUUUUCUUGUUGCUCUUUAUCAUCAUCAAACAAUCACUCUUUUAUUUAAAAUAACGUAGACUUUUUAUUUAAUGAACGAAAUAUAAAACAAUUAAAAAUCUGAACCUGUGAUGAUGUCUUUUUCGUUGUUGCCAUCGUCGAUGUCACUGUCGCCAUUGUCGUUGUCGGCGCUACCACCGUCGCUGAGGUUGCCGUCACCUUCCUCACCAUCGUCGUUCCCUCAUUUCUCUUUCGAUUUUGCAUCCUAGUUUUUUUUCCAAUCGUGUUUCUGCCUGGCCGCCUCCUUUGCAUUGUCAUGUUGGUCGCCUCCUUUGUGUUGUCAUGUUGGCCGCCUCCUUAAAAUGAAACUAGGAUUUUCUAGGUUUUGUUUUGACCUUUUUUUUAUUAAGUUGGGUUGGGCAUGUGUUUUAAGCUAAUAACUAAAAUAUAUUCAAGCUCAAUCCAUUUAAAUCUAUUCAUUUUAUUUUUAAUUUUUUUUUAUAAAGAAAAUGAGUUAAUUUCCUUCAUAACUAAAUAUCAACUUCAUCAUAAAAAAUAUAAAUAAAUAUUAUGUUAACAAUUAAUUAGAUAUGACAUCUUUUUAAUUUUUGAGUUGUUAGAACACAAGCGGUACAACUUGAUAGUUCUAAAACUCUCUUUAUUUAUUUAAUUUAUUUAUUUAUUUAUUUUAAUGAACUAAUCUAAAAUCGACUUAUAAAUUUGAUGUAAUAUUAUUUCUUAUCUUUGAGUUGUUAAUACACGUAUUCUACAACUUGGUGUUUUUUUAAAUUCAUAUGAAACUCAAUAAUAAUAUAAAAUAUUUUUUUAGAGGAUUAGAUUAGAUGUGACAUCUUCUUUACUCCUUGAGUCUUGAGACACAAGUUGUACAACUUGAUCGUCCUAAAACUCAUAUUUUAAAAUAUUUAUUCAAAUAAAACUAUUUUAUUUUUCUAUUUUGUCAAAAAAAAAUUUUAUUACAAGACAAUUUUUUUUAAAACACACUUAACACAUCUGCAUUUUCCUAAGAACUACAUAGCUUUGAUUUGUCCAUCGCAUCGGGAGAUACGUAGGAACAAGAUCGCAUUCUUGUCAAGCACAUUAAUAAAUUUUAUUUUAUUUUCAUCUUUUAUUUCUUAAGCACAUAUUCAUUCCAAAAUCAUAUUUUAAAAAAUAAUAAUAAUUGUUAUUCAUAUUUAAUUAUAAAGAGAAAUAAAUAUACUUAAGUUAAUAUUAAUCUUGCACAAUUAAUUAUAGGUAACCAUAUUUUAACGGAUGUCGCAGGGUGCUAAUACCUUCCCUACGCAUAAUCGACUCCCGAACUUAAAAUUUGGUUUCGAAGACCAUUUUUUUAAUUUUUUCUAUUUUUAAAGGUUUCCCAAUAUUUUCUUCAUUUUAAAAUAAAUUUUGGUGGCGACUCAAUUGAAUUCGAUAAACACUCCAAAUUUUAAGCCGUGACAAUGAUUGUACUUAGAGAAUUUCAAAGCGUGUUGUUACACUUGCCUUUAGGUUUUAUUCACCCCACUAAUCAGAUGCGAACAAAGAAUUUCAUUCAUGGUCCUUUAGAAAACUUUGAUAUGAUUUGCACUAACACACCAAAAGUAUUUUUUAUAUUACAAAAGAAUAUUUCAUACACUUCACUCAUGCAUUAGAAAACGAUAUAAUGAUUUAAAAUAUAAAAAAUGAGAAAAUUGUAAAUAACAAUGACAGAAUUCGUAUGUCAUUUUCUAUAUAGAAAAUAUAAUAUUAUAAUAUUAACUAAAAUGUUACUGGUGAUAAAAAUAUAAUCUCUUUUGCGCAUAGUCUGAAUUUGUAUUCUAGAGGUCGCAUGCAACCACAAGUCCAACAAUAUAAUAUAACAAUUUUAACUAUGUACGCAUAAUAUUUUAAAAAUACCUUGCAUAUCUUGGAAAUGGUUAAAUAGAAAAGUAAAGUGGUGUUAAUUAUUCUCUUAGUGGAUCCUUAAUUAAUGCAUCGGAAUGCUUGGAGUUAGUGGUCUGAGGGAGUCCCGUUUUGUUGUGUUGAAAUUGAUUUUCAAUUUGAUUUGUAAGUAUCAUGGAAUGUGUGGGAAUGGAUUGAAGAUCAACGCGGGUUGCUUCUGCUAAUUCAGUACUUGAUUUUACUAUUUAAGUAUAUACUGAUGAGCCUCACAUUUUUUUAAAAUUUGUCUACAAUUGUAAGUUGAAUAGGUUUUCAAAUUCUGUACACUAAUGGGCAACUCUUUGUGCC